AUUAUGACAAUCAAUUGGUUAGUUUUUCACGCUAUGUUUCUCAAUAUUGUAUAUGUGUGUAUUUUUUUGCAAAUAUUGCCAAUGCUGUCAGACAAAAUUACAUUUGUAAUUUUCCGUCGCCACAUUGUCGUUACCCAUAUAACUACAACAAUAUGAGAAAGAAUAAGAAGUAAAUUACGAUUAAAUCUGCUUUUACGUAAUAAUUGCUGUUGGGAUACAAUACAAUCCCCAGGGUGGAUUGCACUAGUUUUUUUGCAUCCAUAAAAAAAGGAAAAUUAUCUGGUAUAAUGUUUACACAUUUGUGCAAAACGCAGAUAUAAAAUCAACUUCCAAAAACAGCCUGAAAAUAAGAAACGUGAUCAAGUCGACCUUGGGAACUAGAUUCUAUCUGACUGUUUCCCCGCUGAGUUCACACCUGCAGUAGUACAGCGAGAGUGAUUUCUCUGACAUGACGUCAUCCGACUAAAGAAAACCAGAUUUAACCACCGAUUAAUGUUAUAUAUAAACAGUAUACACGUUUUUUUUUUUUCCUUUCAUUUAAGUAGCAAAGGCCUUUCACGGUUGUUAGCAUCCCUUAUAAGGGUCGUUGUCUAAUCCCUGUCGAAGGAUAAUGGACGGUAUGCAAAUUUAUACCCUUCCUGAACAUUUUCUGCUGCAUUUUUAGAAGUUGUAUCGGUUUGAAGAGCAGAAAGAUGCGUGCUUUCCUGCCAUCGGUAUCAUUCGCUACGUAAAUUCUAGUUAAUUUUGGGCAAUGGGGCAUCGGUUGAAGUAUCGGGAUGCAGCUGCACCACUGCACUAAUGAUUUACUUGCAGUUUCUUCUCCAUCUGGUGUCACUACAUCGAAACUCGCUCCCAGCUAAAUAGCCCCGGGAAUAAACGGGAAUGUGUACUGCGUGGGUUCCGACUGCGCUCAGUUGCAACGGAUACUUGUACGAAUGUAGUACAACGAUGAAAGCUUGUGUAGCUGUCUGCAUUUCGCGAGUUGGUGAGUACCCGCUCCACUUUCUAACCGAAUCUCCGUCUAGAGAAGACUCGCAAUUAACAUUAACCUCUUUAAAAAAAGCACUCUGUCGCACGCGAUUAGAACAUUGAGCGCUGUUUAAAUCGUUCUACAAACGUGCAAAAUUUCAUUAUUAAAGCGAUAAAGACAGUUUUCGAAAACCUUUAACUGUUUUUCAAAUCGAUUUCUGCUUAUUACAAAAAAAAACCCGACCAUUAUCCUAGAUUAAUUCAAGCAGAACAAGUGUUCCUUUCGGUUUAAUGCGAUAACGAUUAAUCGGAAAGGCAAAAAAAAACCGAUUUCGAUUUGUAAAUCUGAACGAUUUUCUGCUCGUUACACCAAAAUAAUUGAGAAAAAGUAACGAUCAGCGUUACGUAUCUCGAUCGAUAGUAUCGUAUUAACCAUUGAACUUUGACUCUGAUUCAUCCAACUCGUUAACAUCCCCGAUAUUUCCAUUCAUAUGUUUCUCGUUAGAAUAUUUAGCUUUAUUAUUAAUUUAAUCAAAACGAAACCUUCUUAAAUCGAUAAGAAGAGCUUAAAAACAAGGAAGAGGUGAUUAACGACAUCGACCUUCUAUGUGAUUUAUUGUAAACAGAAUUAAAAUCUUAAUGGGCAAGCUAAUUGCUUUCAGGCCACGGAUCAAACUGAGUAAUUUGCAAUUAAAAAUCCGCCUGAAUGUGCAAUAACGGUUUUAUAUUUUUAAAAGUUCCGCUCUCAAAUGGUCUUCCACUUAUUAAAUUUCUAAAUUUAAGUUGACCUAAACUCGAUAUAAUUCAACCUAUUUAGCAUAAGUCGUUCCAUUUAUAAAUUCGAUCAGAACAUUUUCGAUACUCGAUAAACUAGGCUACCAUUCAGUUACAUUAUUAUUAUUAUUAUUUUUUUACUCCUACGCGAGAUAGAUAGGCCGCUAAAAUGAUUCAAUCU
rnacentral:lncRNA from 1 species